CAUAGUAUGGAGGAAAUAUUUGGAACCAGUUCACUUAGGAGUUUAGAAAAUGUUGCAUCAACACUUUCAUCCUUGGUCUUGGGUCUAGAUUUCACCCACUUCUGAAGUGCUUGACAUUGGAAGAUACAAAAAGGGACUGAGCAUGUGCAGAGUAAGAAGGAACUCAGCAACAUGGAGAAACUCAGGCAGCCAGAUUCAGAUGAUCAGAGAACUUACCGUGAAGCCAGAGGCAUCUUACUAUAACAGAUUCAUAACUGAAGGAUGAAGGCGGAAGUUCUGCUCGAGAUGGUAAAGCCCUAUUGGAGAUCAGCAGAAAAUAUAAAUGAAGGCAUAGACCAAGUGCAGAUGACCGGGGAGUGGGUUUAUGGGGACUUUUGGGUCCAGAGAACACAUAUCCUAUCUAAAGUGGGUAGCUGCUACUCUUGCUCAUUUUUAGUGGAUUAAUUUUUUUCUAAAAAGGUCAUGCAUGCAGAUAUUCCAGUUAAAUCUUCAUUUGAAAAACAUGUUGCCACAUCUAGACAUUGAGCAUCAAUGAUUGUUAACACAACAAAAAGUGGGAUGAUGAAUGUAUCACUGCCCAUAAAGCAGUCUUGUAAUAAAAUUGGAAUAUGAACGCAAUGUAACUUCUGGAUCCAACUCUCAAUUUACAGCAAUCCAGAGAACACAGGAAGUCGUUAAACUACACCACAGGGAUGCAAUCAGCACAGACCAGACUGUAGGGGACAACAGGACCAACAACAGCUUCUUCAACAAAUAAUUAAAAGGAAAGAAAAGAGGUGGAGGGUAAAUUUAUAGGUCAAAAGAGGCUUAAGAGCUACAUUAACCAAUUACAAUUGCACAGAUUUUCAACUGCACAGUGGUCAAAACCCCAAUCCCCAUAUUGUUUAAUGCUACCCUAUAUAUGCAACUAAUUUUCAAUUCUUGCUUCUCAUUCUCAUAAAAAACUAGAACAUGUUAAUUAUACUUUAGAGAAAUAAAGAUAUAUAGACUACAAUUUUCACUUGGAGAGUAAGAGACAUAGAAAUCAAACCUUAAAGAACAAUGCGAUAUCACCCUCUUGCUCAGUGUUUCAAUAUUUAAACUGUAUAAAUGUAUUUCUCAUUGUUAGACUGUUUGAAUAUUUCCUCAGAUUUUCAAUCUUGCAAUACAAUGCUUCUGAGUAACAACAGAUUCAAAUUAGUAAAUGGCAGCUCCAAAGUGUAUUUCUGAGCAAAUCAUCCCCAGGGCCUGCCAAUCAAAGACCAUGAUAUAUUCAGAGUACUUAUUGCUAUUAUACAACACUUUGCAAAAGAAGGCCAUUUGGAGACCAAUAAUACCUUUAUCCAGUGUCCCUGGGGACAACUUAGGUCAUUCAUUGUUAGAAUCACUGACUGCUAAUUCCCUAAAUCCUACUUGAGGGAAUUAAAGAUUCCAGAGAUGUCAUUGCUGGAGACCUUCUUGAGCCCCAUUGCAUGAAAAGUGGCCAGUACGGCGACUACACUUACAUAGUGCUUGGUAAAGGCUGACUCCCUUCCCUCCACCCUGUCCAUUACUCAAUGAAGCCUGUCUAACGGAUAAGCAAAAUGAUUUAACACAGUGCCUCUCAGUCUGGUGAUGGGGGGUUAAGGAUGGGAGUAGAGGACACAUAUUAAGCUUGCCUAGGGAAAUUGUUUUAGGGUCUACAACCUUUCCCUGUAGGUGAAUCAGAAUUUGAGAACUGAAAUCUGAAAACCUCCCCAGAUGGUUUUAGUAUCAUCUCUCCAGUGAUACCCAUACUCCUGCCCUGCACACCAACAAAAUCCCUGUUUGAAAACCACUGCUCUAACAAAAUGAAUCUCAGAAUCUUAAAUGAGAGAACUUCAAAUGUUGCUAUUCUGUUAUAAUCCAUCAUCUACCUUAGGAGAGCUGUCAUUCUGUCAGUUACUUAUGCAUAUCAAAUUUAAAAGUAAAUCUUAACAUCACUACAAUUAUAUUCGAAUGGUCUCUGUUAAACAAGACUUCUAUUUCAUGCCACAAAUGUUAGAAUUAUCUUUAUGUUUAACAUUGCUAUGAUUAUUAGAAAAAUAAAAUAAAAUGCUUGCAGUCAGUUCAAGGAAUACUUUCCUAUGAAACAGCAUAGUUACAGUUCAGGUGUAAAAUAACUCACACAGAAAUAUAGGAGAAGGGAAGAAAAGACUGUUUAACCAUUACUAACUAGGGAAUUAUUUAAAUAACGAACAAGAAAGCAGAAAUUGGUAUAAGCAAAUAAAUAGAGGCUAUAUAUGCAGAUACAAUAGUGCUAGUAUAGUUUAUAUAUGGUAAUAGCUUAAUAGUGCGGUGGCAUGGAAGUGAAUGAUCCCUAAUGGACAAUUAAUCAAAUCUACCAGAGUUAAUUCUGCCUCCUGUUGGACGCUUCCAUGGUCUGUGGUUAGCGCCUUCCACUUCCGGUUCUUCUACCUUUGGUAUUUUUCUUUUGAAACAUCUUGAGGAGGCUAUGUAAUCCACUCUGCAGUUUCCCUAUCAGACUGAUGAUUUGUAAAGCAGAAAAUACAUUAACAUCGAUUCUUUGGCUUUCCCUUUGGAGGCUCAUAGUCAAGAUAAGAAAGGUUUGAUUAUUCUCAAAAUUCCUGCAAAACCUCUGCUGUUUCCAUCCUCUUUUUCUUCACGUUCCUCCCACCUCCUUCUCAACAUGCUCUCCUUUCCUUAGUCCAGCAGCUUGCAAAGCGACAGGCUGACCCGGUGUCAUCCCGGCUGUGCAAGAGUGGCAGGAAGUCUUCCUGAUCGGCUUGGGGACUCCGAAUUUGGCAGCACAAGGUGCCUGGGCUGUAUAAUCUUUUUGUGAGAGGUGUAUAUGUAACUACCUUGGGUUCAUGAUUUCUUAUUUCUACCAAAAAUAAAUUUUAAGGGUCCU